UACGUAGGUGGCAAGCGUUGUCCGGAUUUACUGGGCGUAAAGAGCGCGCAGGCGGUCGUUCAAGUCGCGUGUGAAAGCCCCCGGCUCAACUGGGGAGGGUCACGCGAUACUGAUCGACUCGAAGGCAGGAGAGGGAAGUGGAAUUCCCGGUGUAGUGGUGAAAUGCGUAGAUAUCGGGAGGAACACCAGUGGCGAAGGCGACUUCCUGGCCUGUUCUUGACGCUGAGGCGCGAAAAGCUAGGGGAGCAAAGCGGGG
rnacentral:rRNA from 1 species